rnacentral:rRNA from 1 species
GAUGAACGCUGGCGGCGUGCUUAACACAUGCAAGUCGAACGAAGCACUUUAUUUGAUUUCCUUCGGGACUGAUUAUUUUGUGACUGAGUGGCGGACGGGUGAGUAACGCGUGGGUAACCUGCCUUGUACAGGGGGAUAACAGUUGGAAACGGCUGCUAAUACCGCAUAAGCGCACGGCAUCGCAUGAUGCAGUGUGAAAAACUCCGGUGGUAUAAGAUGGACCCGCGUUGGAUUAGCUAGUUGGAGAGGUAACGGCCCACCAAGGCGACGAUCCAUAGCCGACCUGAGAGGGUGACCGGCCACAUUGGGACUGAGACACGGCCCAAACUCCUACGGGAGGCAGCAGUGGGGAAUAUUGCACAAUGGGCGAAAGCCUGAUGCAGCGACGCCGCGUGAGCGAAGAAGUAUUUCGGUAUGUAAAGCUCUAUCAGCAGGGAAGAUAAUGACGGUACCUGACGAAGAAGCACCGGCUAAAUACGUG